UACGAAGGGGGCUAGCGUUGCUCGGAAUCACUGGGCGUAAAGGGUGCGUAGGCGGGUUUUUAAGUCAGGGGUGAAAUCCCAGAGCUCAACUCUGGAACUGCCUUUGAUACUGGGUAUCUUGAGUAUGGAAGAGGUAAGUGGAAUUGCGAGUGUAGAGGUGAAAUUCGUAGAUAUUCGCAAGAACACCAGUGGCGAAGGCGGCUCACUGGCCCGGUACUGACGCUGAGGUGCGAAAGCGUGGGGAGCAAACAGG
rnacentral:rRNA from 1 species